UACUGUGUGUUGACUGUACUUGUGAUGAA
rnacentral:piRNA from 1 species